CUCACAGCUCCCACGCACGCUUCAGAGUGGAUGCUCUUCAGUACCAGUAUAAAGAAAGUAUGAAGAAUGAGCGUGAUUAAAACAAAAACAAAACUGUGGAGCACGGACAACAUACGAUAAAUUCCUGUUUUCAUGAACGAAUGAAUCUUCCUCUGUCCAUCUGGCUCUCAGCCUGGCCCUCAAAUAAAAAAUACCUCAAGUAUCCAUCUACACUUGCUGUCCUGCUCUGAGGAAAUGCAGUUCUAAAGAAGAGAGACCGCAGAAAUCACAGAGGGAAGAGAUGAGGGGAAAAUCAAUUUGGUGCAGUUUUCACAAACCUUUAAAAUAGGGCGAUUUAAGUGAUGAUGGGGUUUCAUGACCAGCGGCGGCUCUGAAGGGAAUGCUCACGUCUCCUGGCAUUUCUCUGAGUAGGUGGGAAAGGAAGGAAAAUGGUUUUUUUCCUCCCCUUCUACUUAGAAGAAAAUGGAGGCAAUGAAAAGCAAACGUCUCCCAUAAUGUCCCAUUACGGAGGACAAAUGAAAUGCUGCUCCCUGUAGCUCCUCAGCCAGGCUCUGGGCAGGCCUUCUCCUCCAAGCUCCAGAAACUAAGUAUUCCCCAACACACCUGGCACUGCUGUUACCAUGGUGACACUUUUGUAUUACCCUCACCUUUUGUGUUCCUUAACUUGGGGGCGGAGGCUGGUGCAGGGCACAGUUGAGUUUUCAUAUUUCUCCCCGGCUUCUGUAAAAUGGAAGAAGAGAAGAGGGGACAGGAUCCUGAUCUCCUCUGCCUGCUUCCUUGGCUCCUUGUUUCUCCGUUCCUCUACUAGACCUCACUGGCCAAGGCACCUAGAAUGGAGGCAGAGGAUGGAUGGAAAAAGCUUUGAUGGAGCCCAAUAGACCUGGGUUCAAAUUUGCAACUCCUCCAGGAAUCCAUGUGUCUUCAUUCAAACCUGCCCUGGCUCAAGUACUGGCAGAUUGGAGGGAAAGUCAAGAGGACAGAUAAUAUGAGCCAGAAUGAAAAGCAACAAAGCAGGUACUGGUCCCCCCUCUCUGUACCUGGGAUUGAAUUUAAGGCCUGAAGCUCACUAGCAAGCUCUGCAUUACUAAGCUGAGCUAUUCACACACACACACACCUUUUUUCUUUUUUUUUCAUUUUGAGAUGGUGUCUCACUGCAUAGCCCAGGCUCUCUUUGAACUAGCAAUCCAACCUCACCCUGCCACCAGGCCUCUCUAGGUGCUGUCUCUCUCGAUUCCUGGGAAAACAGAAAGAUGUAAAACCCAAACUGAACUGAGAGGGACUCAGGAAAAGCCAAGCACUUAGGAGUUAGGUAUGUGGGCUCAACAAAACUAAGCGUGAGAAGAGCCAGGCAUAAGGGUGCUUCCUAUAAUCCUGGGACUGGGGAGACCAAGGCAGGAGGGUAAUGAGUUUGAAGCCAGCCUGGAAUUUUCAGCAAGUCCCUGCCUAGAAAAACAACCAUCUGAGAAAUGAUGGUGCACGCCUUUAAUCCCAGCACUCAGGAGGCAGAGGCAGGCGGAUCCCUGUGAGUUCCAGGCCAAGUUUGGUCUACAGCACGAGUUCCAGGACAGCCUCCAAAGCUACAGAGAAACCCUGUCUUGGAAAAACAAACAGACAAACAAAACAACAACAAAAAACAACACACACACACACAAAACAUUCACACUCAGCACACAGACCCAGACUAUCCAAAACUCCACUUGGUAACCUUAGAUAGCUCUGAACUUCAACUCUUCAGUGUCUUUACUUGUAAAAGGAUGGUCCUAAUCAUACCAAUCCCGAGGAGUCUUGCUGGGAUUCUAAGAUACGGCAUAUGAACCAGCAGGGUCAGUAUACAAAAGGUGGCUGCUUCCGAAUCAGCGCCCCUGACCAAGCAGCCACUGUUUCCGCAGCUGGACUGCAGCUGGCACCGCAGUUACUGUUUCACGUGUAUGGAGCCUGGCUUCUGGCUGCCUCUCCAGAAACACAGCUUCCCAGCCUUUUUGGACUCUUUCACUUUUGCCCUCUGCAGCUUUCAAACUCCAGGUCCAGAAGGCCACAUACAAUUCACACCUGAGGCCCAUCUUCAGCGUUCCCCUCCUCACCAGCAUUAGCCUCUCCCCUAGACCAGGGGGCCCAGAGAAGGCCAGGGGAUGGUCCAAGGCCUUAAUUGCCUCCCCGCCCCUCCAGGACAAAGAGGGAGGGCUUCUCAGAGACGGAGAUGGGAAAGGGCAGUGUGCGCCAGUCCUGAUGCAAUCGUCCUCGGAUUUCUUGGCCCACUUCCUCCUUCUCAAGUGUUUACUGAAGCCUGAAUUCCACAGAAACCUCUGCAAGUGUGCACUGACAACAGUGGCGGGCAGGAUGCAUAACUGCCCUGGCUCCAGGGACAGUUUAGGAAGAAAUGAUCCUGUGCCCUGGGCUCAGGGACGCUGGCGAGAGAAAUCCAGUGUCGGGAAUCCAGUGGGAGGGGCGAGGAUGGUAGGCUGAAGGAAGAGGCACCGCUGAGGGGCUGACUUCUGCUUCGUGCCAGAUCCAGCUUCCAGAACCCGCUCUGGGGAAGCUAAUAGACUCUUUAUCUAAGCUGUGUAGAGGAGGCUACCACAAGGGGUCUUCCAGUGAUGGGCGCCUCAGAAGCAGCUUAGAGGCGCAUCUCUUCCCUGUCAGCCCAACUAGCGGAAAAGCAGCUUCUUGGAAGGGGACACUUGGUCCUCAGCCGUAGUCUUGGCUGGGUCUCCUGGAGACAUUCUUAGAAGAGCAGGGCGCAUAGUGGUUCCGGACAUGGGAUGUGGGAAGUUAUUUGCUAGCUGCCCCAGGCAAGCGAUUUCAUCUGACAGACUCUCACCUUCGUCCUGGCAAAAGACAAAUGGUGAAAGCUCACCUCACAGACCGGCCUCUGGGCCGCAGAGCCUUUCCUUGGCAAUGUUACAAUCUCUCAAUAGCCCAUUAGAGCUGUAACCCUUUAAUACUGUUCUCCAUGUUGUGGUGACCCCACACACACAUACCAUAAACUCAUUUUGCUGCUAUUUCAUAACUGCAAUUUAGCUACUGUUAUGAAUCUUAAUGUAGAUAACUGAUAGGCAGGACAUCUGAUAUGCAGCCUGUGUGUGUGUGUGUGUGUGUGUGUGUGUGUGUGUGUGUGUGUGUGUGUGGUGGACCCCAGG
rnacentral:lncRNA from 1 species